GAUGAAGAACGUAGCGAAACGCGAUAUGUAAUGUGAAUUGCAGAAUUCAGUGAAUCAUCGAAUCUUUGAACGCACAUGGCGCCUUCCAAUAUCCUGGGAGGCAUGCCUGUCCGAGCGUCGUUUCAACCCUCGAGCCCCCGUGGCCCGGCGUUGGGGAUCUGCCCAGGCAGUCCCCGAAAACCAGUGGCGGACCCGUUACAGGCCCUUCCCUUGCGUAGUAGCAUUCGCCUCGCAUCGGGAGCCGGCGGGCUUCCAGCCUCUAAACCCCCAUCAAGUCCGCCCCGGCGGCACCAAGGUUGACCUCGGAUCAGGUAGGAAUACCCGCUGAACUUAAGCAUAUCAAUAAGCGGAGGA
rnacentral:misc_RNA from 1 species